AGCGAACGCUGGCGGCAGGCCUAAUACAUGCAAGUCGAACGCCCCUUCGGGGGAGUGGCGGACGGGUGAGUAACGCGCGGGAACGUGCCCUUUGGUUCGGAACAACACAGGGAAACUUGUGCUAAUACCGAAUGUGCCCUUCGGGGGAAAGAUUUAUCGCCAUUGGAGCGGCCCGCGUUGGAUUAGGUAGUUGGUGGGGUAAAGGCCUACCAAGCCUACGAUCCAUAGCUGGUCUGAGAGGAUGAUCAGCCACACUGGGACUGAGACACGGCCCAGACUCAUACGGGAGGCAGCAGUAGGGAAUUUUGCGCAAUGGGCGAAAGCCUGACGCAGCCAUGCCGCGUGAAUGAUGAAGGUCUUAGGAUUGUAAAAUUCUUUCACCGGGGAAGAUAAUGACGGUACCCGGAGAAGAAGCCCCGGCUAACUUCGUGCCAGCCGCCGCAGUAAAAC
rnacentral:rRNA from 1 species